rnacentral:rRNA from 1 species
GAUGAACGCUAGCGGCAGGCCUAACACAUGCAAGUAGAACGGUAACAGGAAUAGCUUGCUAUUCGCUGACGAGUUGCGAACGGGUGCGUAACGCGUAUGCAACCUACCUAUAACAGAGGGAUAGCCCAUAGAAAUGUGGAAUAAUACCUCAUAACAUAUUUGAUAGGCAUCUAUUAAAUAUUAAAGCUCCGGCGGUUAUAGAUGGGCAUGCGUGUCAUUAGCUAGUUGGUACGGUAACGGCGUACCAAGGCAACGAUGACUAGGGGUUCUGAGAGGAUUAUCCCCCACACUGGUACUGAGACACGGACCAGACUCCUACGGGAGGCAGCAGUGAGGAAUAUUGGGCAAUGGACGCAAGUCUGACCCAGCCAUGCCGCGUGCAGGAAGACUGCCCUAUGGGUUGUAAACUGCUUUUAUACAGGAAGAAUGUCACCUACGUGUAGGUGUUUGACGGUACUGUACGAAUAAGGAUCGGCUAACUCCGUGCC